CUAACCCAGUUACAUUCACUGGUGCUGCGGUCGUUACGUCCACAUCGACUGAAACACCAAAACCUGCUUCUGAAUCUCUUCAGGAAUAAAUCAGUGAUAAUCAAGAUUUCAGCAAAAACAUUACUCACAGAACACUCGCUAACUAGCGUAGCACUAGCGAGUUAGCCUAGCGUGCUAAUGUUAAGAGAAUUAACAUGUGGACUGUCGACUCUUUUUUGGUACGUCCUUCAUAAUAAAUGGUUUGCAGAAUUUUUCACAUUACAUGUUAGAAAUUACACAAAUAAAGAUCAAAGGAACGUUAAGAGUUGUGAAUAUGACAUGUUCAUCAUCUGAAAGAUUAUUGCAGUUAUCUGCUCUUUCUCUGUUAAUAAUGUUAUAGAGAGAAGGUCUAGACCUGCUCUAUUUCAAAAGUGCAGAGACCUCCUGUUUUAAACCCAAUUUGCAUAUAUUUGCAUAUGUAAAUGUAAUGAGCUUAUAACAGAAGAGCUGUAAGGACAAAAUGCAUUUAUGAGACCUGAUUUGAAACGAAACAUAUUCUAGUUUCUGAAAAUGUGCUUGUUUUGCAUGUGACUCCAACCUAAACUACAUCAGCUCAUACAUGGUGUUUUUUAGUAUUUUUCAGUCCUCGCCUGUAAAAAAGUCACAUUACAUAACAACCAACAGGAUCUACUUUAUACAAGAACAGUGAAAAAGCUCCACAGUACUUUUACAUCUUGUCAGAAACUGCUCUGUGAAGCUUCAAGGCCUCUAGGACUAAUAGUUUAGUUUAGUAAAGCUUUAUAGUUUAUUUUCGACUGGCGCCCAUAAACCUCUCUAAAGGAAAACUGGGAGAAAUGUGCUUUAACUCUUUAAUAUGAAAUAACAGAAAACAUGAAGCAUUUUCCUUUAGGAACCAUUAAAACAGAGCUGAUCCCUGCUCUCAGCUGUUUCCACAUCUCUCAAAGCCUAUUGGUCUUCACUCUGAAGUGCCCUCCCCCCUAGUUCGCUCUGAUUGGUCAGGGGAGACGUCUAUCUACAAGCUAGAGUCAUUCGGAAACGCUGUGAGAAGAAAAACUUUUUUUUCUCAAACUUCUUGCGCUAGUUAGCUCUCGGUUACGCUCGGUUACGCUCGGUUACACUCGGUUACACUCGGUUACACUCGCCUUCUUCCCCCGCCCCCCUGACAUGAAAUCUGAUUGGAUCUUCAGAGGGAGGCCGCCAUUUUGUAGCCAGAGAGCUAACAAACAACAACACACCUGCAGAUGGAGGGAAGGAGGGAGAGCCGUCGCUCGGUCGUCUGCUUCGGACUUCUCACGACAAUAUUCACAACCUGGAAUACUUUUCUAAGGAUCCCUUGUUGUUUCUGAGACCUGUGGACCGUUACGGACUAAAGGAAUACAGAUGACGGAGGAAUGGAGAGGGAACCGGAGUUCUACACGUCUAAACGGUCGGCAGUCACCACAGGUUACCUUUACUUUGAAGGAACCGUCUAAGCGUUUCCGGUGUGGUAUCUCCGGUCUGGGGCUCCUCUGCAGCAUCUCUGUGAGUGACGCUGGGCUCCUGUGGCACCAGAAGAGGGCGCUCACAGUCUGAACCUGGAUAUGAAGCUGGAAGCUGUGUCUGUCCUGGACCGGACCUGGACCGGAGGGGCAGCAUUCAGUAUUCUUUAUGUCUGAAACAACAGUUCAUUUACUACGUGGCAGGGACGCAGGUUUAGGACACGACAAUCCCUCCAAGACCAAGAGGACUUUUUAAAGCCGUCAACCAAAUGGUUUAUUAACGUAUGAUCUGUAUUUACAUUUAA